rnacentral:piRNA from 1 species
UGUUUCAUGGUUUUAUGUUAU